rnacentral:rRNA from 1 species
UACGUAGGGGGCGAGCGUUAUCCGGAUUCACUGGGUGUAAAGGGAGCGUAGACGGCGACGCAAGUCUGGAGUGAAAGCCCGGGGCCCAACCCCGGGACUGCUCUGGAAACUGCGUCGCUGGAGUACGGGAGGGGCAGGCGGAAUUCCUGGUGUAGCGGUGAAAUGCGUAGAUAUCAGGAGGAACACCGGCGGCGAAGGCGGCCUGCUGGACCGUGACUGACGUUGAGGCUCGAGAGCGUGGGGAGCAAACAGG